rnacentral:rRNA from 1 species
CCUACGGGAGGCUGCAGUAGGGAAUCUUCCACAAUGGGCGAAAGCCUGAUGGAGCAACGCCGCGUGGGUGAAGAAGGUCUUCGGAUCGUAAAACCCUGUUGUUAGAGAAGAACGUGCGUGAGAGUAACUGUUCACGUCUCGACGGUAUCUAACCAGAAAGCCACGGCUAACUACGUGCCAGCAGCCGCGGUAAUACGUAGGUGGCAAGCGUUAUCCGGAAUUAUUGGGCGUAAAGGGAGCGCAGGCGGUCUUUUAAGUCUGAUGUGAAAGCCUUCGGCUUAACCGUAGUAGUGCAUUGGAAACUGGAAAACUUGAGUGCAGAAGAGGAGAGUGGAACUCCAUGUGUAGCGGUGAAAUGCGUAGAGAUAUGGAAGAACACCAGUGGCGAAGGCGGCUCUCUGGUCUGUAACUGACGCUGAGGUUCGAAAGCGUGGGGAGCAAACAGGAUUAGAUACCCUUGUAGUC